rfam:Camelus ferus unplaced genomic scaffold scaffold1009, whole genome shotgun sequence.
GAGGGUGUAGCUCAGUGGUAGAGUGCAUGCUUAGCAUGCACAAGGUCCUGGGUUCAAUCCCCAGUACCUCCA